rnacentral:rRNA from 1 species
UAUCUCUGUAGAGUCUGCAUAUCAAUAAGCGGAGGAAAAGAAACUAACAAGGAUUCCCCUAGUAACGGCGAGUGAAGCGGGAAGAGCUCAAACUUGAAAUCUUCAAGGUUUGACCUUGACGAAUUGUAGUUUAAAGAAGUGUUUUCGGUUAGAGGAGUAGUAAAAGUUCUUUGGAAUAGGACAUCAUAGAGGGUGAGAAUCCCGUAUUUGACUAUUCUUUCUAGCUUUGUGAUACACUUUCAAAGAGUCGGAUUGUUUGGGAAUGCAGUCCAAAAUGGGUGGUAAAUUUCAUCUAAAGCUAAAUAUUGGCGAGAGACCGAUAGCGAACAAGUACCGUGAGGGAAAGAUGAAAAGAACUUUGAAAGAGAGAGUUAAACAGUACGUGAAAUUGUCAAAAGGGAAGCGUUUGACACCAGUGUUGUUUUUCUCGAAAAUCAAUUAAAAAUUAUUCAUGCAGUUGUUGACCUUCCUUGCAUUGUUUGGGUCUCUUUUUGAUGCACUUUUCGGUUAACAAGUCAACAUCAAUUUCCUUUGCUGUAAAAAGGUAAGAGGAAGGUGGCUUCAAUUUCGGUUGAAGUGUUUAUAGCCUUUUAUCUCUGCAGUCGGGGAGAUUGAGGUCUGCAGCGUAGAUCCUUCGGGGCUAGAUACAUUUAUGCUAAGUUAUAGCUUUUCAUAGACAACUUGUUGACUAUGUUUAGUCAUGUAGCUUACUCGUAAGUGCUAUUUUACCUACGCUUAGGAUGUUGAGCGCAUGUCUCUCUCU